AGACUUAUCUGGUAGAGAAGAUACCACGAUCACAAAGGUGGUUUUCCCAAGGCAAGGGUUAUCCAUUGUACUCCAGAUGUGCUGACCCCUACAAUUUCCUCAAAUAUGGGAAACUUGACUCCAUAAUUUGUGGUAGUGGGGACUGCUUUCCCACUCUCCCCU